rnacentral:misc_RNA from 1 species
GGGGAUAAGUUGCUAAUUACCCUCUCUU